CGGUUCCGCCCGGCUCUCCUGUGAAUUUUGGUUCCCUGGUGACCGGUUGGGCCGCGAUCCUUUUCCACUGUGAUUCCACCGUCUAACGGUGACGGUGUAUGACCGUUGCACUUUCUUUCUGCCGCCUUCACUGAUUCUUUCUGUUGCGUUGUGCAUAUCUCCUUGCCUUUCUUUCUCUUUUCACAAUUGCGAGCAAUCAGGGCACGGUUCUUCUUGUUGCGACGAAGAUAUGCCGCCACCUAAAGAGCUUCCAGGGUUUUACUACGACGCAGAGAAGAACAGGUAUUUCCCCAUUAAAGGCCCCAUUCCCGGCUCUUCUCGCUCUUCUUCUGCGAAGCUUGGUCCUAAGAAACCAAUCCCAAGGUCCACUCAGGAAAGGAGCCCUUGUAGGAAGCCUUUGAAGAAAACAUCGAAACUGCUUCUUGCCAGGGAGUUAAGUGGCAAUAUCAUUAUGUCCUACAGAUGGAAAUGCAAUUUCAGGGAGGAAUUGCAAAAAACACAAGCAUCACAACCUGUGGUUUGGAAAUACCAGCGAACAGAUAGGAUAGAUAUUAGUGCUCUGGAGCAGAUAAACAUUGAUGUAGAGACUUUUGAGGGUGUGGUCAAAACUGACGUUUUGUUGUCAGGCAACUUGAAUGGCUCACUACGUUUUUUUGAGGUUCGCAAAGAGCAAGCUAUUGAUAUAACCUGGAUGCCAGAUCGUGUGAAGAAUUAUGCUAAAGGAAAAACAUACAAGCAUGACGAAGUGCCUGCACCAGUUGUUGCAAAUUAUGGAGGUUUAAUUGAAAAGCCAUCCAGAAUAUCUUGUAUAAGAUUGGGUCCAAGGUUCUCUUCUCAUGCAGAUGAAGGCCCUAUUGUUCGUCAUGUAUUAUUUACUCAUUUGGGAUCUGAGACAUCAGGUGGAUCAAUUCAUAUUAUGGAUCUUGCUGAACCAUUAAUGCCUAAUGUUGUGAGCCCAAUAAAGCAAGUUGCUUCCUUUAAGUGUACCUUUUGGACAGCAGAAUAUGAUUAUACGAGACCUCGUGCUGUAAUUGGCAAGUUCUGUUGCUCUCUUUCCCUUUAACAUGCUCUUUAUCUCACACGUGCAAAAGAUGCAUGUGCUCAUGCCAGUGCAAACGUGUCUCAUUUGUUCAGUAUUUCCUGGCACAAAUAACAAUAUUUGUGGCCUGCAUAUGCAUAGGUACCAAUAUUGGAGCUGCAUCCGUGGAUUUGGAAACUGGUCAGGCCUCGUGGUUUUUACGUUGCAAAAGCGAUGUUUU